rnacentral:rRNA from 1 species
CAGUCGCCGCGGUAAUACGGAGGGUGCAAGCGUUAAUCGGAAUUACUGGGCGUAAAGCGCACGCAGGCGGUCUGACAAGUCAGAUGUGAAAUCCCCGGGCUUAACCUGGGAACUGCAUUUGAAACUGUCAGGCUGGAGUCUUAUAGAGGGGGGUAGAAUUCCAGGUGUAGCGGUGAAAUGCGUAGAGAUCUGGAGGAAUACCGGUGGCGAAGGCGGCCCCCUGGACAAAGACUGACGCUCAGGUGCGAAAGCGUAGGGAGCAAACAGGAUUAGAUACCCGUGUAGUCCCUGUCUCUUAUAC